GUAGGUGGCAAGCGUUGUCCGGAAUUAUUGGGCGUAAAGCGCGCGCAGGCGGUCCUUUAAGUCUGAUGUGAAAGCCCACGGCUCAACCGUGGAGGGUCAUUGGAAACUGGGGGACUUGAGUACAGAAGAGGAAAGCGGAAUUCCAAGUGUAGCGGUGAAAUGCGUAGAGAUUUGGAGGAACACCAGUGGCGAAGGCGGCUUUCUGGUCUGUAACUGACGCUGAGACGCGAAAGCGUGGGGAGCAAACAGGAUUAGAUACCCUGGUAGUCCACGCCGUAAACGAUGAGUGCUAAGUGUUAGGGGGUUUCCCGCCCCCCUUAGUGCUGCAGCUAACGCAUUAAGCACUCCGCCUGGGGAGUACGGCCGCAAGGCUG
rnacentral:rRNA from 1 species